UUGACUAAUUACACUUACAUCCGCCAGGGGACUACGAGCGUCAGCUUAAAACCCAAGAGACUUGGCGGUGCUCUAUAUUCACCUAGAGGAGCCUGUCCUAUAAUCGAUGAUCCACGAUUCACCUCACCACUUAUUGCCAAGUCCGCCUAUAUACCGCCGUCGCCAAUCUACCCCUUGAGGGGUAAACAGUAGGUCCAAGGGCUUAUUGCCAACACGUCAGGUCAAGGUGUAGCUAAUGAAGUGGGAAGAGAUGGGCUACAUUUUCUAUUUUAGAACAUCACGAAAGACCACCUAUGAAAUCUGGUCAGAAGGAGGAUUUAGUAGUAAAAAGAAACCAGCAAGUUCUUUUAAAAUCGAUACUAGAGCGCGUACACACCGCCCGUCACCCUCAUCAACUCGAAACACUAAGUCUUAAAUAAAAAGUCUGCAGAAUCAAGAAGAGGCAAGUCGUAACAAGGUAAGCGUACCGGAAGGUGUGCUUGGAAC
rnacentral:rRNA from 1 species